rnacentral:rRNA from 1 species
GAUGAACGCUGGCGGCGUGCCUAAUACAUGCAAGUCGAGCGGUAAGGCCUCUUCGGAGGUACACGAGCGGCGGACGGCUGAGUAACGCGUAGGAACAUACCCCAAAGUGAGGGAUAACUGCUCGAAAGAGUAGCUAAUACCGCAUGUGAUCUAAGGAUUAAAGCUUCGGCGCUUUGGGAAUGGCCUGCGUAUGAUUAGUUUGUUGGUGAGGUAAUGGCUCACCAAGACUACGAUCAUUAGCUGGUCUGAGAGGAUGAUCAGCCAGACUGGGACUGAGACACGGCCCAGACUCCUACGGGAGGCAGCAGUAGGGAAUUUUCCACAAUGGGCGAAAGCCUGAUGGAGCAACGCCGCGUGCAGGAUGAAGGCCCUCGGGUCGUAAACCUCUUUCAGCUCCGACGAAGCGAGAGUGACGGUAGGAGCAGAAGAAGCACCGGCCAACUACGUGCCAGCCGCCGCGGUAAG